rnacentral:rRNA from 1 species
UACGUAGGGUGCAAGCGUUAAUCGGAAUUACUGGGCGUAAAGCGUGCGCAGGCGGUUUUGUAAGUCUGUCGUGAAAUCCCCCGGGCUCAACCUGGGAAUUGCGAUGGAGACUGCAAGGCUAGAAUCUGGCAGAGGGGGGGUAGAAUUCCACGUGUAGCAGUGAAAUGCGUAGAGAUGUGGGAGGAACACCGAUGGCGAAGGCAGCCCCCUGGGUCAAGA